ensembl:snoRNA small nucleolar RNA, C/D box 94
AUGGCCAUGAUGAUUGGCGCAGGGGUACGGACCUCAGCUAGAUCAUGGGAGCUGAAUGCAAAUUGCUGAUUCAGUGCAGCUGGCGUGUGGCUGGCUCUCUGGAAAGGUGUUUGCAUGAGAACUUCGCCAGGAACUGAGCCAU